UACAGAGGUCUCAAGCGUUUGUUCGGAUUCAUUGGGCGUAAAGGGUGUGUAGGUGGCGCGCUAAGUCGGGUGUGAAAUUUCGGAGCUUAACUCCGAAACUGCAUUCGAUACUGGCGUGCUUGAGGACUGGAGAGGAGACUGGAAUUUACGGUGUGGCAGUGAAAUGCGUAGAUAUCGUAAGGAAGACCAGUGGCGAAGGCGGGUCUCUGGGACAGUUCCUGACACUGAGACACGAAGGCCAGGGGGAGCAAAACGGGG
rnacentral:rRNA from 1 species